GUUAGUUGCCAUCAUUCAGUUGGGCACUCUAGCCGAGACUGCCGGUAAUAAACCGGAGGAAGGUGGGGAUGACGUCAAUCAUCAUGCCCUUAUGACCUGGGCUACACACGUGCUACAAUGGUUGGUACAACGAGUUGCGAGUCGGUGACGGCGAGCUAAUCUCUUAAAGCCAAUCUCAGUUCGGAUUGUAGGCUGCAACUCGCCUACAUGAAGUCGGAAUCGCUAGUAAUCGCGGAUCAGCACGCCGCGGUGAAUACGUUCCCGGGCCUU
rnacentral:rRNA from 1 species